CGGCAACGGCCAUUAGCUAUGGCGGUUUAUUCCUCUCUCUCGCCUUCUCCUUCGCUCUCAUGUCCUUAUCCCUUCGCUUUCUCCCCAACGCGUCACUCGGUCGCACAAACCAAUGUGAUGCUUCGGAGCUUCUCUGCUGUAAGACAGAGACCAGUGCGCGCGAAAGCUUUCUCCGUCAACGCGACAUGGGAAGGUCUCGACUCCGUCAACAUCGCCGAUAACGUAACCCAGUUGAUUGGAAGAACGCCCAUGAUAUAUCUCAACAAAGUAACAGAAGGCUGCGUGGCAAAUGUUGCUGCAAAACUUGAAUCAAUGGAACCAUGCCGAAGUGUCAAAGACAGGAUUGGUUUCAGUAUGAUAUCCAGUGCCGAGGAGAGUGGUGCAAUUUCUCCAGGUAAGACCAUACUAGUUGAACCAACAACGGGGAAUACGGGGCUUGGCAUAGCUUUCGUUGCUGCAACAAAAGGGUACAAACUUGUAGUUACCAUGCCUGCUUCCAUAAAUAUGGAAAGGAGGAUCCUACUACGUGCUUUUGGUGCAGAGAUUGUUUUGACAGACCCAGAGAAAGGCCUCCAAGGGGCUGUAGCCAAAGCUGAAGAAAUUCUAAUUAGUACUCCCAAUGCCUUCAUGCUUCAGCAGUUUGAUAACAUUUCAAACACGAAGGUCCACUUUGAAACCACAGGACCUGAGAUAUGGGAGGAUACCAUGGGUAGUGUUGACAUACUUGUUGCUGGAAUUGGAACUGGUGGUACCAUAACAGGCACUGGUCGUUACCUAAAUAUGAGAAAAGAAACGAUUCAGAUAGUUGGUGUGGAACCUGCAGAAAGAAGUGUAAUCUCUGGAGAAAAUGCCGGUUAUGUACCCCCUAUUCUGGAUGUCAAGUUGCUUGAUGAAGUGAUCAAGGUAACCAAUGUUGAAGCUAUAGAAAUGGCUAGGAGGUUAGCAUUGGAGGAAGGCCUACUGGUUGGCAUUUCAUCAGGAGCUGCUGCAGUAGCAGCGAUUAGUCUGGCUAGGAGGCCUGAAAAUGCUGGAAACCUUAUUGUGGUUAUAUUUCCAAGCUAUGGUGAGAGAUACAUAUCCUCGGUGCUUUUUCGUUCUAUUUAUGAAGAAGUUCAGAGAAUGUAGACGAGAUAGGAGUUGCCCAAGUUUGUUAUACUUUGAAGACGAUUCAUUCAUAAAUCAACAACGAUAAUGUACAACAAUUUAUCAAGGCACAAGAAUCAGAAAGUCGAGCGUAAUUGCAUCUAUAUUAGUCUUCAUCUAAAUUUAGUUAAGGCUGAUGCAAGGAAAACUUCGGUUUGCUUGUGAGAGACAAAACAGACACAAAUCUCAAGAACUUCAUCGAAUUUGCGUUACUUUACUUGCAAUAGUUGAUUGGUUAGCUCUCUUAUAAAUAGUUUGUCUAUUCCUUUUCAUUUCAACACAAACUAAAUAUUUCACAGGUCUAAAUGUUUACGAUGUCAAUAGUAAUUCUUGAACUCGUCUACAUCGAAAUUGAACCAUU